GGUUCACUCUCCCAGAUUCCAACACAUCACCAAUGAUCAGUCAAGUCCCACUGACCUUGGAAAGCAACCCAAGUGCGCAUGCGCACUGAACACUCCUGGCCACCAGGCUUCUGUGCACAUGUGUAACCCACAGAGCUCGAGAGCCAGGCGUGCCUGUGCAGUUGUGUAUUCAGGCGUUGCUUGGCAACAGGUACUGUGAGCUCAGAGAAGUGCCCGAGGCCCUGGCUUGUGGCUCCAAACAGCUGCCACAGGUGCCUCAGGCCUGGGAGUCUGUGAGAGGUGGCCGCCAGUCUCGGCCUGGAAGAAGGCUUGCUGCUUCCCAUAUCAGAAGGGGGAUCAGGUGUGAAAACGGUGGAUCUGAUGAAAUCCCAGUCCGGGAUCUGUCAGCGCGGGUGGAGUGGCCCAAGACCACCUUAGAUGUUGGUGUCAUUUGAAGAGCUGGCUGUGUACUUCACUCAGAGGAAUGGCAGGAACUGGACCAUGCUCAAAGGAUCCUGCACAGGGAUAUUAUGUUGGAGACCUACAGCAGCCUGCUGUCCUUGAGAUAUUGCAGUACCAAACCUGAGGUGAUCGUCAAGUUGGAGCAAGGAGAGGAGCCAUAGAUGGUGGGAAACCAAAGCUUCCUAGGUCAGUCAGUAAACACUGGAC